rnacentral:lncRNA from 1 species
CACAACCUUUAGACUUUGGAGGCUUGCAAUUGCACGAUGGGAUGGCUUUACUUCCCAUAUCCUCUUCAAUUUUGGCAAUGAAUGUAGGUUCAAUAUUGUUAAAUUUGAGAGCAAUGGUGUCUGAUAUUUCAUUCUUUCAGAAAGUUUAUCUAUUUGAAAUAUCACUUGUAACUCCUCACAAUCUUUAAUGAUCACUUGCUUAAGGUUUUGCAAGAACCUAGUCGGAGAAACACCAUUGCACAACCCUUUCAAAGAAGCCAUCCUUUCUAUAUUUAAUUCCACCAAAUUAGAGAAUGCAACAGUUGACCCUUGAUCAUUUUUUGUAUCAAUCAAGAAUUCCAUAUCAU